UUUUUUUUUUUACAUUUAAUGGGUCGACGUUUGACCGCUAUCUCACCUGAUGGUAAGUGAUGAUGCGGCCUACGGUGGAGCACGUCUGCCCAUAAGCAACCUAUUCACUCGGGCCUUGAAGACACCCAGGUUAUACCCAUCAGGAAACACAGACUCCGGCAAGGAGUUCCACUCCCUAGCAGUUCGCACAAGGAAGCUUGAAGCGAAGCGCUUCGUGC